AGCCGAUGAUGCUAGAAAAUAUUUGCUACUCUUGAUGGGAAUAACCCAUUUGAUGAAUUAUUAUCCACCAAGAUCUCUGAGGCU